rnacentral:rRNA from 1 species
AUGUCUAAGUAUAAACCGCUCGAACGGUGAAACUGCGAAUGGCUCAUUAAAUCAGUUAUAGUUUAUUUGAUAGUCCCUUUUUACUACUCGGAUAACCGUAGUAAAUCUAGAGCUAAUACGUGCGGAAAGGGCCGACUGGGGAGGGGCGACUCUCUUCGGGUAGGUCCGUAUUUAUUAGAUACAAAACCGAUACGGGGCAUCCCAAACCGGCGGGAAGAAGGGUUUUCUCGUUCGCGAGGGUUCUCUCUCUUUUCGUCGGGUCCCGGCCAUCUUUCGGUGAUUCACGAUAACUUUGCGAAUCGCAGCGGCCUCGAGCCGGCGAUGAUUCAUUCGAAUUUCUGCCCUAUCAACUUUCGAUGGUAAGAUAGAGGCUUACCAUGGUGAUAACGGGUGACGGAGAAUUAGGGUUCGAUUCCGGAGAGGGAGCCUGAGAAACGGCUACCACUUCUAAGGAAGGCAGCAGGCGCGCAAAUUACCCAAUCCCGACGCGGGGAGGUAGUGACAAUAAAUACCGAUACGGGCCUCCGUUCGAGGCUCGUAAUCGGAAUGAGAACAAUUCAAACCCCUUAACGAGGAACAAUUGGAGGGCAAGUCUGGUGCCAGCAGCCGCGGUAAUUCCAGCUCCAAUAGCGUAUAUUAAAGUUGUUGCAGUUAAAAAGCUCGUAGUUGAAUUUCGGAACGGGAGGGAGGGGGAGUCCGAGGGUUUUUCCGACCCUCGAGGCUCGCCUCUCCCUUCGUGCGGCGCCGGUCCGCCCCGAAGGGCGAGCACUGGUCCGCGCGUUCCCUCCUACCGGACGCUCGCUCCUGCUCUUCGUUGAGUGGGAGUAUUCUCCCGUCCUUUUUCCACCGGUUCCGUUCGGAGCUCCGGUUCGUUUACCUUGAAUAAAUUAGAGUGUUCAAAGCGGGCAAGCACACGCCUAGAUACUUUAGCAUGGGAUAAUAGAAUAGGACUUGGGUUCUAUUUUCGUUGGUUUCUAGGACCGAAGUAAUGAUUGAUAGGGACGGUCGGGGGCAUUAGUAUUUAAUUGUCAGAGGUGAAAUUCUCGGAUUUAGGAAAGACUGACUUCAGCGAAAGCAUUUGCCAAGGACGUUUUCAUUAAUCAAGAACGAAAGUUAGGGGAUCGAAGACGAUCAGAUACCGUCGUAGUCUUAACCAUAAACGAUGCCGACCAGGGAUCGGGAGACGUUACCUCGAUGACUCUCCCGCCACCUUGCGGGAAACCACAAGUCUUUGGGUUCCGGGGGGAGUAUGGUCGCAAGGCUGAAACUUAAAGGAAUUGACGGAAGGGCACCACCAGGAGUGGAGCCUGCGGCUUAAUUUGACUCAACACGGGGAAACUUACCAGGUCCGGACAUAGGAAGGAUUGACAGACCGAUAGCUCUUUCUUGAUUCUAUGGGUGGUGGUGCAUGGCCGUUCUUAGUUGGUGGAGCGAUUUGUCUGGUUAAUUCCGUUAACGAACGAGACCUCGGCCUGCUAAAUAGCCAUGCGAACCUUUCCGCCCCAAAGAGGAUACGGUCCGGAGGGGGUCCCCUUCGGAGGAGGUUCGUCCCUUCUUCGGAGGUCCCUUCGGGCCGCCCUCUGGUGAGGUUCGUAGCGGCGCUUCUUAGAGGGACUAUGCAAUCCCAGUGCAUGGAAGUUCGAGGCAAUAACAGGUCUGUGAUGCCCUUUAGAUGUUCUGGGCCGCACGCGCGCUACACUGACGAGCUCAACGAGCGUCUCUUUUUCCUAGGCCGGAAGGUCCGGGUAAUCUUCGAAAGCUCGUCGUGCUGGGGAUAGAUCCUUGCAAUUAUGGAUCUUCAACGAGGAAUUCCUAGUAAGCGCGAGUCAUCAGCUCGCGUUGAUUACGUCCCUGCCCUUUGUACACACCGCCCGUCGCUCCUACCGAUUGAACGGUCCGGUGAAGUCUUCGGAGCGCGGUUCACGCUCGGUCGGGGCAACUCGGCCGGGUAGGGUCGCGCAAAGUCGACUAAACCU